rfam:Octopus bimaculoides Scaffold17639_contig_372, whole genome shotgun sequence.
AAUAUGGUUUUAUUCAAAACUACACACAAUCUCUAUUAUGUAUAUU